rnacentral:rRNA from 1 species
CAGUCGCCACGGUAAUACGAAGGGGGCUAGCGUUGCUCGGAAUGACUGGGCGUAAAGGGCGCGUAGGCGGAUUGUUUAGUUAGGCGUGAAAUUCCUGGGCUUAACCUGGGGACUGCGCUUAAUACAGGCAGUCUAGAGUGAGGAAGAGGGUUGUGGAAUUCCCAGUGUAGAGGUGAAAUUCGUAGAUAUUGGGAAGAACACCGGUGGCGAAGGCGGCAACCUGGUCCUUGACUGACGCUGAGGCGCGAAAGCGUGGGGAGCAAACAGGAUUAGAUACCCCUGUAGUCCCUGUCUCUUAUAC